AGGUUAUAUGGCAAAGAGGAAUUAAGGUUGCGGAUGGAGUUAAGGUUUGUUUGUCAGCUGAUUUUGAGAUGGGGAGAUUAUCCUGGGUUAUCCAGAUGGGCCCAAUGUAAUCAAGGGUCCUGAAAAGUGGGAGAAGAAGGCAGAAGAGUCAGAGAGAGUAUGUGAUGUGAGAAAAACUCAACCAGCCAUUACUGGCUCUAAAGAUGGAGGGAGGGGCCACGAGCCAAGGAACGGAGGCAGCCUCUAGAAGCUGGAAAAGGCCAGGACAAGGAUUCUCCCCUCCGACUUCUAGGAAGAAAUGCAGCCCUACCAACACUUUGAUUUUAGCCCCAGGAAGCCCAUCUUGGACUCUUGAUCUCCAGAACUGUAAGGAGAAAAUCGAAGCUCCAAGAGGCUAAAUAAUUGCUGAAGUCACAUGGUCAAUAAUUGAGGGGUCCAGGACCUGUGCCCAGGCAAGUUUGCUCCACAGUCGGUGUUCCUGGACGCUGUACUCUGAUACUUGGAAUUUUCUGGAAAACCUGCCCUUAAUCUUAGUGCGACUCAGAGACGCUGGUCAAUGAUGAAUUUGAUGACUGCUGCAAGGGCCUCUCUGUGUCUGGAGAUGAGUCAGGGGAGCACCUCACCAGGAUCAAAGGACCAUUGGGGCAGAAAAGAAGCUUGGAUUUUCUCCGUUAUGGUUAAAUUUCAUUAGUAUAUUGUCUCUGAUUGAAGAUGUGUAAUAGUGAUGAAUGGCAGAAAUGCAGUAUUCUGAAAACUCCAUAAAAUCGGUUUUAGGAAAAAAAAAAAGAUUGCUACCUGAAGUAAACACAGCACUAGUGGCUUAUCUGGAAGAACUGGGUUCCACUAAAUUUAUCCUUCCCCAAUUAAUGAGAAAUCCUCUAAUAACAUUAAUUAAUAUUAACAAUUCUGAUUAUGCCAAUAGAUCAUACAUUUAUUCAAUCAGCAAACCUUUCUUGUACACAGUUUAUGCCCAGUAUCAUGCCAGGUGUGGGGAGACACUGAUUAAUGAGAUAGUGUCUCUGCUCAUAAUGAGGUCACACUGAGGAACUCUCCAGGAGAGAAGCAGCACGAUGUGGUCAGUAUGAAGGACGCGGAGAGCAGCUGACCCCUCAGAGAGGACAGCCUCAGGGGAAAGGUGAUGUUUUUGCUGCCCUUUAGAGAAUUCCUCUGAAAGGAUGAGCGGCAAAGCUAGGGUGCUGGAUGCUCUCCAUUUGCUCCUCCAUAUCCCUCCACCUCACGCCUCCACGGUGCUGCGCCUUCUCUGGCUGACCUUUAUGGACUGUUUCAACUUGCUCCUUUGUCCCCAGGCUUCCAACUGAAUCUGUGCAAUGGGAGGUACUGGGAGCAGAUCAUAGCCUGGGAGGGGAAUGAGGUUUGACUCUUUACUCCUGUGGUUUCCUGCCUGCUGAACUGUGGGUUGACAGUGAUGUGGUGCUUCACUGAAGGUCACUGCUUCUUACGGGUGACCCUUUUCUAUACCUACAGCUCUCUCUCUUUGGGUUCUCAAGCAGCUCUCUCCCCUUGGAUUAUGCCUAUGUUUGAUCAUAGGUCCUUGCAGUUGCUAAAUUCUGAGUCUAAAACAUUCCUUUUGGUUUUAUUUUGACCUUGCACACAUCAUUAUAAAUAUCCCAGCUCAGCGUGAUGUCUAAUUCCUCUUGGGACACUGACUGACUUAGCAAGUACAUACCGUGUCUCUGAAAGGUACAGCUUACACAAAGUGGUGGUUCACUGAUUUCCUCCGAAAGGCGUGUCCUCUGACUGCGUCCAUCUUAAAGUCUCUGGCGUGCUUAGUCCUGCACUCGACACCACCCACGACUUGGGGUCUCAAAGAAGGUCAUAUGUCAUCAUUCAACUUCCGUGGACCAUCUGCUUCCAGAAUUCCUCGGAGAAGCUCAGUUUAAGAUCUCCAAUUGCUGUGCCUAAAGAAGUUAAGGAUACUUUGUUUCCACAGCAGUCUGAAGUCAUGAGCUCUUCUGAAAGCAUAUAGGCUAAUUCCUCCAGUAAAAAAAGAUUAGAAAUGUAUCUUUUAUAUAUCAAAAUAUCUCCAUAAUGGCUCUUGCAAUUCCAAGUCUUCCUUAAUGAACUGUUGCCAGUUAUCAGGGUAGUCACAGGAUUACUUUGAGAAGACGUGUAGGAAGCAGAUGUUCUGUUGGAGGAGGUUGUGGCUUUGAUGCAGACAAAUUCACGAUGAACACAAAUGAGGCUAUACGCUGUUGAAAGUCUAAACUGGUGAGUGCUGUCUUGGAUCUUUGAAGAAUACAAGUUAGGAAGAAGCCAUAUGAUACACAACGUGACAAACUGACUUCAGAAUAUGUAGUUAGCAAAGUGAUCUUCUUUCAUAAAUUGAUAAGGCAAGGAAUGUCCCCACAUAGACUUGGUUGAUGGUGUGGGUGGCAAAAGAGACCCAAGCAUUACUGACCAGUCACCUUUGCACAAAUUGGUUGUCAUUCUUGCAGACCGCCAAAUAUCAGUCCAUGGGAUUCACUUGAUUGGAGGGUUAUUUGCCCUAAGCCCCCAUCUCCCCUUAUGGGGCAAUCUCUU
ensembl:lncRNA